UACAGAGGGCGCGAGCGUUGUCCGGAAUCACUGGGCGUAAAGGGCGCGUAGGUGGCGGCAUAAGGCCGUGGUGAAAGUCUGGGGCUCAACCCCAGAUCGGCCAUGGCGACUGUGUCGCUUGGGUACUGUAGAGGCAGGUGGAAUUCCGGGUGUAGCGGUGAAAUGCGCAGAUAUCAGGAGGAACACCAAUGGCGAAGGCAGCUCGCUGGGACGGUACUGACGCUGAGACGCGAAAGCGUGGGGAGCAAACAGG
rnacentral:rRNA from 1 species